AUUGAACGCUGGCGGCAGGCCUAACACAUGCAAGUCGAGCGAGCGGCGGACGGGUGAGAAACGUCUGGGACCUUGCUUGAAGGCUGGGGUUAACUAAUGAAAACGGUAGCUAUUCCCGCAUAGCAGUCGCUGUGAGCAGGUGGGAAUAGCUAGUAGGUGGGGUAAUGGCUCACCUAGGCGACGAUCCCUAGCUGGUCUGAGAGGAUGAACAGCCACACUGGAACUGAGACACGGUCCAGACUCCUACGGGAGGCAGCAGUGGGGAAUAUUGCACAAUGGGCGCAAGCCUGAUACAGCCAUGCCGCGUGUGUGAAGAAGGCCUUCGGGUUGUAAAUCACUUUCAGCGGGGAGGCGUUACUCGCAGAAGAAGCACCGGCUAACUCCGUGCCAGCAGCCGCGGUAAUUC
rnacentral:rRNA from 1 species